AAGAUCAGUGGCAGAGAUUUGACUUUCUGGCAAGAGCUUGUAUCCAAGUGUUUAGCUGAAUAUUCAUCGAACAAGUGUUCCAAACCAAAUGUUCAGAAGUUGAAAUGGAUUGUUUCUGGGCGUACUGCACGGCAACUGAGGCAUAGUUACUACAGAAUAACCCACCUUCCAACAAUUCCGGAAAUGGUCCCUUAAUUGGAUGAUUACAGCAACAAAAAACUUCUGAAGCCUUUCUCCACAAUCCUGAGCUGUGGAUUCCAUAAUAUUAUAACGGAUUUAAGCUGUGAAGCCUCAAAACAUCACAACUAGAUUAGCAUUGGUGUUCUCAGAUUUGGGAAAACUGCCUAAUUAACAUUACCCUAUAGUGGAAUUACUCAAAUUUGAAUUCACCUGUGAAACAUACAAAUCAAAGUAACAGUAUAAAUGUGAAAUGCAAAUGACAAGCCUGGAAAGGUAAACUGUGAAUCUUCAUUUCUAACAUUGAUCCAAGUUUCUGUAUUGGGUCAAUAUAUUGUACUUAGGUGGUGUUUAAAAAAGGUAACCUACUUAAAUUUAAACUUUAAAUUAGGAGGUUUACAUCAAAAACACCAUUUCACAAAUGCACUUUUUAAGGCACAAUAAGGGUCACUAUUCUAGGCAGUGAGAAUAGUUAGUUUCUUGGCACCUAUGAUGCAAGUAAUUAUUAACCCAGAGAUGUGGCCCUUACUGCUACAUAGAAAUCACAUUUAAAUUUGAGGGCAUUUAUGUAAAGCAAAACUACCAACCUGUUAAUUUUGGCAUGUUAUCUUUAAUAUUUUUCUAGAAAACUGGUGAUGUUUGUAUCCAUGAUUUUAAAAGUUUUAUACAAAAUUUACUGCCUCAGUCUAGUCCCAUCAAGAAAGUUAGUUUUUACUGUACUAGUAACUCAAAACAAAUUAGUGUCACUCAGAAAACUUUUUGAUUUAACACUCCAUCAGUUUUUACUGAGGACUGUUUUUAUAAAACUUGGUUCUAACUUAGAAUUUUGCUUAAAAGAAAGAGAAUAUGCUUACAUUAAUUGCCCCUACUGUGUGCCAAAAGGAAGUAUUAAGAAAGGCAAGUAGGCAUCUUCAUAAUUAUAAGGUUGCCGAGGUGUAGUGUUCAGAGAUCUACAGGGUUAAAGUGUUGCAGAGAGUUACUCAAUGCAGUGUGUAACCUGAAUCCAUCCAAGAUGGCUGUACCCAAUUUUGACAUCAUUUUAUGGUUAUAGAGGCAUUAGAAAAUGAACCAAAGAACCACAGUGUAUCUUAUACUUUGGUAAACCAUGUUUUAUGAAUAACUUUACAGUUUUCCCAAAAUACUGAUAAAUUUCAAUAUUUUGAAUACAUCAGUGUUAAUUUUGAGUUGCCAGAGGUAACCUAACCAACUCCCAUUAUGUUUUGGUACUAAGGGAUAUACCUUUCAAUAAAGUUACUGAAAUGCA